rnacentral:rRNA from 1 species
CCUACGGGAUGCACCAGUGGGGAAUAUUGCACAAUGGGGGAAACCCUGAUGCAGCGACGCCGCGUGAGCGAAGAAGUAUUUCGGUAUGUAAAGCUCUAUCAGCAGGGAAGAAGAAAUGACGGUACCUGACUAAGAAGCACCGGCUAAAUACGUGCCAGCAGCCGCGGUAAUACGUAUGGUGCAAGCGUUAUCCGGAUUUACUGGGUGUAAAGGGAGCGCAGGCGGAAGGCUAAGUCUGAUGUGAAAGCCCGGGGCUCAACCCCGGUACUGCAUUGGAAACUGGUCAUCUAGAGUGUCGGAGGGGUAAGUGGAAUUCCUAGUGUAGCGGUGAAAUGCGUAGAUAUUAGGAGGAACACCAGUGGCGAAGGCGGCUUACUGGACGAUAACUGACGCUGAGGCUCGAAAGCGUGGGGAGCAAACAGGAUUAGAUACCCCAGUAGUC